UACGAAGGGGGCUAGCGUUGCUCGGAAUCACUGGGCGUAAAGCGCACGUAGGCGGCCUUGUAAGUCUCACUGUGAAAGCCCGGGGCUCAACCCCGGGAGGCCAGGGGAUGCUGCGAGGCUGGAGACAAGCAGAGGUUGGUAGAAUUCCGGGUGUAGCGGUGGAAUGCGUAGAGAUCCGGAGGAAUACCAGAGGCGAAGGCGGCCAACUGGGCUUGUUCUGACGCUGAGGUGCGAAAGCGUGGGGAGCGAACAGG
rnacentral:rRNA from 1 species